rnacentral:rRNA from 1 species
GACGGAGGAGGCAAGCGUUAUCCGGAAUUAUUGGGCGUAAAGCGCACGUAGGCGGCUUCUUAAGUCGGUGGUGAAAUCCUGGAGCUCAACUCCAGAACUGCCUUCGAUACUGGGAAGCUCGAGUCCGGGAGAGGUGAGUGGAACUCCGAGUGUAGAGGUGAAAUUCGUAGAUAUUCGCAAGAACACCAGUGGCGAAGGCGGCUCACUGGCCCGAUACUGACGCUGAGGCACGAAAGCGUGGGGAGCAAACAGG